GGGAGGAGCGCACCUGAGGAGGGGGUACGCCUGAGAGGAGGGUUGUGUCGCUUAGAGGAGCAUAGCUGAGGCGGGGGGAGUGUACCUGUGGGGUGAGAGCGUUGAAGGAGCACGGCUUCCCUAGAGCAGAGCCGGGGUUUCCUCGCUGUUUAGCACAUCCUGAGGGGACUGGAUUUAAGCAGGAGCUGUCAAGCAUUGGAACAGGCUGCUCAAAGAAGUGAUUGAAUCACCAGCCCUGCAGGCAUUUAUAAGUCGUGAGGAUGUGGCACUCAAAGACAUGGUUGAGUGGUGGACUGGGCAGUGUUGGGUUAACAGCUGGACUUCAUGAAAUUAGAAGCCUUUUCCAACCUGAAUAAAUCUACAUGAUGCACUCAAGAACUACUCAAAAAGAAGAACUACCACGUUCUUGAUGGUGAUGAGACAAGAAAAUAUGGAAAAAACCAACAUACCCUAGGGAAAAGAAAAAAGCUACAGAGUUCCAGCAUGCUUCUACAGCAUCAAGUGUUAUUUUUUACAGCUAAAUAAUAAUAAUAACGAAACAGAUGCAAGAGUGGUAACAUACAGGAAAUACUUAUGUAAUAUGAAAAGGUUGCUUGGUGAGAUUAAUGCCAAAAGGACACCACAUAAAUCAUUGUCAAAGCAGCUUGGCCCUAUGUUCCUAAUAAUUUUUUAAAAGCCAUCUAUUUUUAAAAAGGUUAAAGCAAUUUUUAUUCCUCUAUAGCUUGCAUGAAGAUGAUGUUUCUAUAUUUUAUUUUUCCUCUACACAAUGCAUGUUCAACAGCAAGGAGAGACAGGGAAUUAGUA